CCAUUAGUAGGGAUAAUCCUUACCUGUGGUUGCCCAUAAGGGCGACCUCAGUAUGGGGUAUGAUGCAACGGAGAUGCAUGAUGACCAUGAGUUACAUCUCCACUCCUCAGGAGACGCCACCUGAAGGAGGCCUGCUGAU